UGCGUAGGCGGGCUAAUAAGUCAGUGGUGAAAUCUUUCGGCUCAACCGAGAAACUGCCAUUGAUACUGUUAGUCUUGAGUUCGGUUGAGGUAGGCGGAAUGUGUAAUGUAGCGGUGAAAUGCUUAGAUAUUACACAGAACACCAAUUGCGUAGGCAGCUUACUAGACCGACACUGAUGCUGAGGCACGAAAGCGUGGGGAGCGAACAGGAUUAGAUACCCUGGUAGUCC
rnacentral:rRNA from 1 species